rnacentral:lncRNA from 1 species
UUUGGGUUAAGGUAGGGAGAGGGAGCAGAAGGUCAUCAUGAAAAAAUGUCUCUCCUAGAUCCGGGCUGGCAACCUGCGCCUCUACUAAUUAGGAUGAUGUGCACCUUUCCAUGGUCUAAUGUAUUCCUUCUUGUUAGUUCUCCAAUUAAGUUUGCCCAAACUUCAGGAUAAGCAGUUUGCUCAUUUAUUUUUCUUUUGUGUUUUGCAUUCAUUCUAUAACAGAGGGUGAUUGGAUAUUUUUGUGUCAGCCUGGAGGGAUUCUAAAACAUAUAUGUUCUGGUUAUGAUUUGAUGCCCUCUACAUCUUUUAUGUUAUUUACAUGGGUAUUAAAACUAUUUGCGUUCAGGUACAACAAGAAGUUCAUGUAUUGAUGCCCCUGGAGUCCAUGUAGCUCUGCUGCCGUGCUACCCUUAUUGGCCUCGGCUAUGUAUGUCAGUCCAAUACCGUCGCCCCAGGCCGUUCACUGUCGUAGCGACCAGGCCGUUCAUAGAAAAAUGUUGAUUAUAUUGAUACCUAAAACUAGUCUUUGCUCACUUUUGAAUUGAAAAGGAAAAAGGAGUCUCUCUAAUAAUAAGUUUAUUCAAAAAUAGAAACAAAAAUAAACAAAAAACAUGAAACACAAAAACCCCAUGAAAUUUGCAGGGAAAACAUAAUAAGUUCUAAGAAAAUAAAUAUAGAAGUUCAUAUUUUGAAACGAAUGAAGUAUUUGGGAACUAAAUGAAGUAUUUCAAAGUACAGAACUUUUGUUUAGCUUUGUUUGUGUACUUCUAAUGUUACUAUGCAUGAACUUGUCGUUAUUUUUACAUGUUUUACAUGAUUACGGUCAUUUCGACCUUGACAAAUUUCAUUUCACCUUAUAUGGUUUUUUCCAUCCAUCUUACAGGUCGAAGGAGCUCCCUUAUGUUUAGUGGAUUCAACAAAAAAAUUCCCUGCUGCCACUGCAUCCUGAGUUCAAGGGAUUCCUUAGGCGCCUUCUACACCAUCUUGCUAAUGAUGCCAUCGUUGGAUGCCACAGCCAUGCUCGUCGUUCUUGUACUACCAUUCACAUACUGCUCCCUGUUUUACUCCAUGGAGAUCCAUAGAAAUAAGUUAUAUUCAGUUUGCCACUUUUACAAUUGAUGGUCCUAUGUUGACCGAAACAAUAGUUCAAGCUCCUAAAAAAGCAAUCAUGUGUAUGCUACAUCACUUUGAGGAACUACAGCAAACAAAAUAAGGAGAGCUUGGUACUACUUGAUUUUUUUAUAGUACUACUUGAAGCCUUUCUGUUGUAUACAUUGUCUCCUAUUUAUUAUAACCUCGUCAGAUUGUUGGAUGCAUGUGGUCCUU